CUAAACCAAAAUGGCAAUCAACAACCCAUGUGUCACACACACAUACACACAAGGAGGUUUAUCAUGGGUAAUUCAACAAAAAGCGGUUACGAACUUAGAUCUGAAAUUCUAGGAAUGGCAAUAGGUAUUGUAGAAUCUAGGAUUCAGAGAAAGUGCGAGAAUGAAUAUCUGAAGCCGGAGGGGCAAAGACAAGGUGUCAGCCCUUAUACGACUGAGGAUGUUUUAGAAGAGGCUGAAAAACUAUUGGCUUUUGUUAAUAGAAAGUAAGCGAUAAGCGGGGAAAUAAAUUGUCUGUGUUAUUUUCCAGUAUUCUACAGACUAACCUUGUGAACGACUUAUUAGCAGAAUUAUUUAGGACGGGGGUUCGAUUCCCCCCACCUCCACCA
rnacentral:tmRNA from 1 species